AUGUCCCUGUCGGCGAUUUCCCUCUACACCGCCCCGCCGGGCGCCGCCUACUCCUCCUCCUCCGAGUUCGACCCGGGCUCGCGCGGCUCCACGCCGUGCAGCACCGCGGCGCCGCCCCCGCCGGCCGCCUCCCACCGCGCGUCCGCCGGCGCCGGCGCCGGCGGCCUCUCCUGCCUCUUCUCCUCCCCGGCCGCGGCCGCCGCGCCGCCCCGCGCCCCGGCGCACGACGAGCUCGGCGCGCUCUGGCACGACGGAUCCGACGACCUCAGCUUCGGCGGCGGCGGCGGCGGCUACUCCCACUCGCCCUCGCCGCUCAAGUGGCGCGACCUCCACCACCACCACCACAGCCCCGUCUCGGUCUUCCAGGGCCCGUCCUCCUCACCGGCCUCCCGGAGCCCGUCGUCGGCGUCCUGGCUCACCGGCCGCGAGCGCGACCGCCUCUUCUCCGGCUUCGUGCGCAACGCGCUCGGCUCCUGCAUCGACUACGUCCCGGCCACCAGCCCGCGGCCCGAGGUCGGCGGCGGCGAGCUCGCCUUCGAGCUCGACGAGAACCUCGCGGGGGCGAGCCCCGCCUGCGAGCCCUACGCCCAGGAGCUCCUCGCCGGCGCUCAGGCCCGCCACCGCAUCUUCCACGAGGAGCUCGUAGUCAAAGCCUUCUUCGAGGCCGAGAAGGCCCACCAUGGCCAGACGAGGGCGAGCGGCGAUCCAUUCCUGCAACAUUGCGUGGAGACGGCCGUGCUGCUGGCCAAGAUCGGAGCGAGCGCCACGGUCGUCUCCGCCGGGCUUCUGCACGACACCAUCGACGAUUCAUUCGUGGAUUAUGAUCACAUCUUCCACAUGUUCGGUGCCGGCGUGGCUGAUCUCGUGGAAGGGGUUUCGAAGCUGAGCCACCUGAGCAAGCUUGCUCGUGAUAACAACACGGCAAGCAGAACUGCUGAGGCAGAUCGCUUGCAUACAAUGCUCCUUGCAAUGGCUGAUGCACGGGCUGUUCUAAUAAAGUUAGCAGAUCGUGUGCAUAACAUGAGGACCUUAGAAGCCUUGCCUUUGGUCAAACAACAAAGAUUUGCUAAGGAGACCAUGGAGAUCUUUGUGCCUUUGGCCAAUCGAUUGGGGAUUGCUAGCUGGAAAGACCAGCUGGAAAAUCUUUGCUUCAAGCACUUGAACCCUGAAGAGCACACGGAGCUAUCAUCGAAAUUCGCAGAAACCUUUGAUGAGGCGCUAAUCACAUCUGCUGUGGAUGCACUGGAUGAAGGUCUUAGGGAAGCAGGCAUCUCAUAUCACAAUCUUUCUGGAAGGAACAAAAACCUUUACAGUGUUUACUCCAAGAUGCAGAAGAAGAAUUUGACAAUGGAUGAAGUCCAUGAUAUCCAUGGCCUGCGCCUCGUGGUUGACAAGGAGGAAGAUUGCUACCGAGCACUCGAUGUUGUCCAUAAACUCUGGCCCCAAGUCACCGGAAGAUUUAAGGACUACAUAUCGCGGCCGAAAUUAAAUGGGUACCGUUCAUUGCACACUGUUGUCAUGAGCGACGGUGAUCACACAUUCGAAGUCCAGAUCCGCACAAAGGAGAUGCAUCUACAGGCCGAGUAUGGGUUCGCCGCGCACUGGAGGUACAAGGAAGGCUCGUGCAGGCACUCCUUCGUGCUUCAGAUGGUGGAAUGGGCAAGAUGGGUUCUUACGUGGCAAUGCGAAGCAUUGAACAAGGAACAUUCGUCGUCCCAAGUAAAAAGCGAUGCCAUCAAACCACCUUGCCCGUUUCCCCUUCAUUCGGAGGAAUGCCCUUACUCGUACACCCGCCAAUGCAACCACGACGGACCCUUGUUCGUCAUCUUGCUCGAACAUGACAAGAUGUCCGUCCAAGAGUUCCCAGCGGGCUCGACUGUAAUGGACCUGAUGCACCGCGUGGGUGCCAACAGCCCAAGGUGGAGCCCCUACAGCAUACCCAUGAAGGAGGACCUGCGGCCGAAGGUGAACCACGAGCCCAUCAGCGACCUGGGAAGGGCGCUGAGCAUGGGGGACGUGGUGGAGCUGACCCCGGCCCUCCCCGACAAGUCGCUGACCGAGUACCGGGAGGAGAUCCAGCGCAUGUACGACCGCGGCGGCUUCGCCCUCGCCGCCACCCGCAGCGGCAGCGGCAGCGGCGGCUCGAGACGCCGAUGA
rnacentral:rRNA from 1 species